GUACAUGUCGUCCCGAUUGACUGUGGUCUUCCGUGAGGUCGGUAUGUGUUUAGACAAGCCUUAAAGUAUGAAAUCUGAUAAUCUUCUUGUAUGGAAAUUGUCAUAAACAUCACCUAAAUGUAUGUAAUGUAAUGCAAAAUGUUUGAUCUGCUAUGUAUAUGCAUGUUUAAUAUCUAUUAUACGAGCAUGCUAGAUAUAUUAAUUUUGGUAUAUGUUAAUUCUG
rnacentral:lncRNA from 1 species